CAUUUUACAAUUAGUUGUUAUUCUCCCCUCACUCAUCCACAAUACAAGGGUCACCCCAAUGGUAUUGGUGAGAGUGGUUCCCAUGGCUUCUUCUUCUUCGAUUCGACCCACUCUCUCCUCCCUUAGAUUCUUAACACCGUCAUCUCUUUCGCUCUCCAACCCUUCUUCUCGUAUCUCUUUCUCCCAUCUUCCCUCUCCCUCUGUGUCUCAAUCCAAUAGUUUUGGCCUCAAAGCUUCCAGAGAGUUGAGACAACAUGGCAACUCCACGAGAAUCAUGGCAUCAGGGCACGUGUCUCAAUCGAUUUCAGCUGCUUCACCAGAAAAUGUGCUUGAGUGGGUCAAACAGGACAAGCGAAGAAUGCUUCAUGUUGUAUAUCGUGUUGGGGACUUGGACAGGACCAUAAAGUUUUAUACAGAGUGCCUAGGAAUGAAGCUCCUCAGAAAGAGGGACAUACCAGAGGAGAAAUAUACUAAUGCCUUUCUUGGAUAUGGGCCCGAAGACUCACACUUUGUUAUUGAACUGACAUACAAUUAUGGAGUUGACAAGUAUGAUAUCGGAACUGGAUUUGGCCAUUUUGGUAUAGCUGUUGAUGAUGUUGCAAAAGCAGUGGAACUAAUCAGAGCUAAGGGUGGCAAAAUAACUAGGGAGCCUGGUCCUGUCAAGGGAGGGCGUUCAGUAAUUGCAUUUAUUGAAGAUCCUGAUGGUUACAAAUUUGAACUUAUAGAAAGAGGUCCCACUCCUGAACCCUUGUGCCAAGUAAUGCUUCGAGUGGGUGAUCUUAAUCGUUCCAUAGAAUUUUAUGAGAAGGCAUUUGGUAUGGAGCUGCUUCGUACACGAGACAAUCCAGAAUACAAGUACACCAUAGCAAUGCUGGGUUAUGGUCCAGAAGAUAAAAGCACUGUUCUGGAGUUGACUUACAAUUAUGGAGUCACUGAAUAUGAUAAAGGAAAUGCUUAUGCUCAGAUUGCAGUAGGCACAGAUGAUGUGUACAAAACUGCAGAAGCAAUUAAACUAGCUGGAGGAAAGAUUACUCGGGAACCUGGAGCAUUACCUGGUAUCAACACAAAAAUUACUGCAUGCUUGGAUCCAGAUGGCUGGAAGUCGUACAUAACAAGGAGUGGAAGGUCUGUCUUCUGUUUGCUUUGGCAUGACACAUAAGAACAUGUUGAUGUUUUUCAGACAAAAUUAAGUUUUCAACUCAACUGAUUAAAGUGUUUUUGUAGAUAAUGUUGAUUUUCUAAAGGAGUUGGAGUAGAGUAUUUUGGUAGGUCAUCAUAGCAAUCUUGUGAGAUCAGUAUCAAAAUCUGGCAAAGAAUCGGUAUUCUUUAAGAAAAAUGUAUGCAUCAGAGUGUAUCAUAUUCAAAUCCGAUUUUGUAGAUAAUGUAAUAAUGACAAUAGCACCGACCCCUGUAAGCUGUAGCAAAUGUCUUCAACUAAAUACAAUGAAGCAAGGUUGAGAAACAUAUGUCGUUUAUCUCCAUUUUCUUUGGCCUUCGUGAUUUUGGCAGUAGGACAAACUUUGUCGUUGUUCACUCUGGAUAUUUCAGAGGCGUAUCAUGGAACAUUACUCUUCUACUUUUUAGAGUAAAUUUUGGACACGGGUCUUUGCCAAUUGAA